rnacentral:lncRNA from 1 species
CCUCUAUAAAUACCUCUUCAUUCAAGCAAAGAAGGCAGAGCAUAUUCAAGGAAAGACCAGCAGCAGCAGCAGCAACCAAAGUUCUUCUCAAAUAGUUCUCAAUAGUUCUCUUCUCAGCUUCUCUUCUCUUAGCUUCUCUUCUCUUAGCUUCUCUUCUCUUCUUUUCCCUCAGAUAGCUUUCUUUCUCAAUUAAGCUUUCUCUAUCUUCAACCUUUUGUACAUCAGUCAAAGUCGGUAACGUCC